AGUGAACGCUGGCGGUAGGCCUAACACAUGCAAGUCGAACGGCAGCACAGUAAGAGCUUGCUCUUACGGGUGGCGAGUGGCGGACGGGUGAGGAAUACAUCGGAAUCUACUUUUUCGUGGGGGAUAACGUAGGGAAACUUACGCUAAUACCGCAUACGACCUACGGGUGAAAGCAGGGGAUCUUCGGACCUUUCGCGAUUGAAUGAGCCGAUGUCGGAUUAGCUAGUUGGCGGGGUAAAGGCCCACCAAGGCGACGAUCCGUAGCUGGUCUGAGAGGAUGAUCAGCCACACUGGAACUGAGACACGGUCAAGACUCCUACGGGAGGCCGCAGUGGGGAAUAUUGGACAAUGGGCGCAAGCCUGAUCCAGCCAUACCGCGUGGGUGAAGAAGGCCUUCGGGUUGUAAAGCCCUUUUGUUGGGAAAGAAAAGCAGCAGCUUAAUACCCCGCUGUUCUGACGGUACCCAAAGAAUAAGCACCGGCUAACUUCGUG
rnacentral:rRNA from 1 species